rnacentral:misc_RNA from 1 species
GCAAACUUGGUCAUUUAGAGGAAGUAAAAGUCGUAACAAGGUUUCCGUAGGUGAACCUGCGGAAGGAUCAUCAAAGGGGGAAGGGUGGGGGGAGUCCUGGGGGAUUUUCCUCACCCAACCAAUCUUGUGUGAACUGUAGCGAGCAUACGCGUGGGUGUGUUGGUGGGAAAGGGAGUGUCUCUUGCCCACCGCCAUCACGCUUGCACAACCAUCUCAUUCACCUUGUCUAACCUGUCACAAAUAACACAUCACAACUUUUAACAAUGGAUCUCUUGGCUCUCGCAUCGAUGAAGAACGCAGC